rnacentral:rRNA from 1 species
CCUACGGGAGGCAGCAGUGGGGAAUAUUGCACAAUGGGGGGAACCCUGAUGCAGCGACGCCGCGUGAGUGAAGAAGUAUUUCGGUAUGUAAAGCUCUAUCAGCAGGGAAGCAAAUGACGGUACCUGACUAAGAAGCCCCGGCCAACUACGUGCCAGCAGCCUCGGGAAUACGUAGGGGGCAAGCGUGAUCCGGAUUUACUGGGGGUAAAGGGAGCGUAGGCGGUUAUGCAAGUCUGAAGUGAAAGGCCAAGGCUCAACCAAGGGACUGCUGUGGAAACUGUAACACUGGAGUGGAGGAGAGGUAAGCGGAAUGCGUAGUGUAGCGGUGAAAUGCGUAGAUAUUGGGAAGAACACCGGUGGCGAAGGCGGCUUACUGGACUGUAACUGACGUUGAGGCUCGAAGGCGUGGGGAGCGAACAGGAUUAGAUACCCGUGUAGUC